rnacentral:tRNA from 1 species
GGGGCGGUAGCUCAGUCAGGCAGAGCAGGAAAAGCAUCCUCUGCAUCCCUUGCUCUAUUGCAGAGCCGCAGCGUGAGGGUUAUCGACUUCUCAUCGCCGGGUCGUGGGUUCGAAUCCCACCCGCUCCACCA